rnacentral:rRNA from 1 species
UUGCCAGCCCGCUCAGAAACUUAAAGGAAUUGACGGGGCCCGCACAAGCGGUGGAGCACGUGGUUUAAUUCGAUGAUACGCGAGGAACCUUACCUGGGCUCAAAUGUAUGUUGACGUAUUCUGAAAGGGAUACUUCUUCGGACAAUAUACAAGGUGCUGCAUGGUUGUCGUCAGCUCGUGUCGUGAGGUGUCGGGUUAAGUCCCAUAACGAGCGCAACCCCUAUCAUUAGUUGCCAUCAGGUCAAGCUGGGGACUCUAAUGAAACUGCCUACGCAAGUAGUGAGGAAGGUGGGGACGACGUCAAGUCAUCAUGCCCCUUAUGUCCAGGGCUUCACACAUGCUACAAUGGCCAGUACAGAGGGCUGCGAGACCGUGAGGUGGAGCGAAUCCCUUAAAGCUGGUCUCAGUUCGGAUCGGGGUCUGCAACUCGACCCCGUGAAGUCGGAGUCGCUAGUAAUCGCAGAUCAGCAACGCUGCGGUGAAUACGUUCCCGGGCCUU